rnacentral:rRNA from 1 species
AUUGAACGCUGGCGGCAGGCCUAACACAUGCAAGUCGAACGGUAACAGGAAGCAGCUUGCUGCUUUGCUGACGAGUGGCGGACGGGUGAGUAAUGUCUGGGAAACUGCCUGAUGGAGGGGGAUAACUACUGGAAACGGUAGCUAAUACCGCAUAACGUCGCAAGACCAAAGAGGGGGACCUUCGGGCGUCUUGCCAUCGGAUGUGCCCAGAUGGGAUUAGCUAGUAGGUGGGGUAACGGCUCACCUAGGGGACGAUCCCUAGCUGGUCUGAGAGGAUGACCAGCCACCCUGGAACUGAGACAGGGUCCAGACUCCUACGGGAGGCAGCAGUGGGGAAUAUUGCACAAUGGGCGCAAGCCUGAUGCAGCCAGGCCGCGUGUAUGAAGAAGGCCUUCGGGUUGUAAAGUACUUUCAGCGGGGAGGAAGGGAGUAAAGUUAAUACCUUUGCUCAUUGACGUUACCCGCAGAAGAAGCACCGGCUAACUCCGUG